AAAAAGCAAGGAAGAAAAGGGGUACAAACAAUGAAGGACAGCCUAAAUAUUCAGGAGGACCUAGAGUCAGCAGAAAAAUGGUCAUAUAAAGAACUCAAGGAAUACCUUAGACAGAUGGAAUGGAACCUUAAAGAGGAUACGAGACAGCAAAUCCAAACAGUGAAAGAACACUUUGAAAAUCAAUUACAUAAACAGAUAAAAGAAGAAGUUAAGCAUCUUUUUCAGGAGAUAGAGAUUAUAAAAAAAAUCAAACAAUAAUUCUAGAAAUGAAGGAAACGAUAAACCAAAUUAAAAACUCAAUUGAGAGUAUCACUAACAGAGUGGAGCAAGUAGAAGCCAGAACGUCAGAUAAUGAAGACAAAAUAUAUCAUCUUGAAAAGAGCCUAGCCAACUCAGAAAGGCUGGUUAAAAAUCAUGAGACAAACAUCCAAGAGAUAUGGGAUAACAUAAAAAAAAACAAACCUACGAGUCAUCGGAUAGAAGAAGGUACAGAGAUUCAAACCAAGGGAAUGAGUAGCCUGCUGAAUGAAAUAAUUACAGAAAACUUUCCAGAAAUAAAAAAGGGAACGGAUAUACAAAUUUUAGGUGCAUACAGGAAACCGAGCACACAAAAUCACAGUAGACCAACGCCAAGACACAUUGUUAUGAAGAUAUCCAAUAUACAGAACAAAGAGAAAAUAUUAAAAGCUACAAGAGAAAGGAGGCAGAUUACAUUCAGGGGUAAACCAAUAAGGUUAACAACGGAUUUUUCAUCACAGACGCUGAAAGCGAGAAGAUCCUGGAACAACGUAUUUCAAACACUGAAAGACAAUGGAUGCCAACCAAGAAUUCUGUAUCCAGCAAAAUUAAGCUUCAGGUAUGACAACGAAAUAAAAAUCUUUCAUGAUUCACUCAUUACAGGCAAAAGAUAUUUUUUCCCUUUAAUAUAGUAGGAUACACAAGAAAAAUGCAUGACUGAGGAAUCUGCUGUUUUUUUUCUGAAAUGGGAGACAAACCAGAUAUGCUGACGGUGAUGAUAGUCAAAUAGUAAUAAGAGAGCUGGGGUUGGGGCUCAGUGGCAGAGCACUUGCCUCACAUGUAUGAGGCCUUGGGUUCAAUCCUCAGCACCAUGUAAAAAUAAAUGAAACUAAAAAAAAACAUUUUAAAAAGUAGUAAUAAGAAUAGUAUCUUUAAAGAAUAAAAUAUUAAUAAGGAUACUAUUUAAUGUUAUAGAGGAUUAGCGAUAAAUAAUCAAAUUUCAUAAGAUACAAUCUAGUCAGAGGAAGAUUUUAAGAUGAAAAUCCAGGCAAACUGAUGGCUGACUUCAGAAAUGAGUUUCAUCAGGACCUGGUGCCUAGGCCAAAGGAUAAGUCAGAAUGGCAGAAACUUCAAAAGCUAGAAGGGUGGUGUUACACCUUGUAUGUCAAGCUUCUCAAAACCAAAUAUUUGCGUGUCAGAUUGUAAAGUCAGCAAAGUAGAAAAUGUAUACAACUUGAUUCUGCAGUAGGAUGUCAGAAACCAAUGGUAAAAUACACAAAUGUACACAUAAGUGACAAUCAUGAGACAUUAGAUCUGAGGCUCUGAACUCUUAAACUUCUCAUGUUAUAAAUUUCCUUUCAUUUUGUUCAGGAUGACUUUAUAAGUGAGGAAGGGGAA
rnacentral:lncRNA from 1 species